rnacentral:rRNA from 1 species
UACGUAGGGGAGCAAGCGUUGUCCGGAUUUAUUGGGCGUAAAGAGCGCGUAGGCGGCUUGGUAAGCCGGAUGUGAAACCCCCCAAGCUCAACUUGGGGGCGGCCAUUCGGAACUGCCAUGGCUAGAGUCUGGUAGGGGGAACACGGAAUUUCCCUGGUGUAGCGGUGAAAUGCUUAGAUAUCAGGAGGAACACCAGUGGCGAAGGCGGUGUUCUGGGCCAGUACUGACGCUGAGGCGCGAAAGCGUGGGGGAGCAAACAGG